rnacentral:rRNA from 1 species
AUUUUCAGUGUCGCAGCAAAAGCAUUAAGCACACCGCCUGGGGAGUACGACCGCAAGGUUAAAACUCAAAUGAAUUGACGGGGACCCGCACAAGCAGUGGAGCAUGUGGUUUAAUUCGAAGAUACGCGCAGAACCUUACCAACACUUGACAUGUUCGUCGCGACUUUAAGAGAUUAAAGUCUUCGGUUCGGCCGGACGAAACACAGGUGCUGCAUGGCUGUCGUCAGCUCGUGUCGUGAGAUGUUGGGUUAAGUCCCGCAACGAGCGCAACCCUUACUUUUAGUUGCCAUCAUUUAGUUGGGCACUCUAAAAGAACUGCCAGUGAUAAGCUGGAGGAAGGUGGGGAUGACGUCAAGUCCUCAUGGCCCUUAUGAGUUGGGCUACACACGUGCUACAAUGGUACUUACAAUGAGAUGCUAAGAGGCGACUCUAAGCCAAUCCCAAAAAUGUACCUCAGUUCGGAUUGUACUCUGCAACUCGAGUACAUGAAGCUGGAAUUGCUAGUAAUCGCAGAUCAGCGCGCUGCGGUGAAUACGUUCCCGGGUCUUGUACACACCGCCCGUCACACCAUGGAAGUUGGUUACACCUUAAGGCAAAGCAUAAAACCUUUGACUACGGUACGAUCAGCGACUGGGGUGAAGUCGUAACAAGGUAGCCGUAGGGGAACCUGCGGCUGGAUCACCUCCUUU